rnacentral:rRNA from 2 species
GCGACCCCAGGUCAGGCGGGGCUACCCGCUGAGUUUAAGCAUA